rnacentral:rRNA from 1 species
UACGAAGGGGCUAGCGUUGCUCGGAAUCACUGGGCGUAAAGCGCACGUAGGCGGAUUGCUAAGUCAGGGGUGAAAUCCUGGAGCUCAACUCCAGAACUGCCUUUGAUACUGGUGAUCUUGAGUCCGGAGAGGUGAGUGGAACUGCGAGUGUAGAGGUGAAAUUCGUAGAUAUUCGCAAGAACACCAGUGGCGAAGGCGGCUUACUGGUCCGGUUCGUGACGCUGAGGCGCGAAAAGCGUGGGGAGCAAACAGG